UCUCCGUAGGUGAACCUGCGGAGGGAUCAUUACAGAGUUCAUGCCCUCCGGGUAGAUCUCCCUCCCCUUGCUAUAACUACUCUCGUUGCUUUGGCCGGCCGCUCGGCCCUGCCCGGCCGCCGGCCCCGGCUGUCGCGUGGCCGCCAGAGACCUCACCAACCCUGAAUGUUAGUGUCGUCCGAGUAACUAAACAAUCGUUAAAACUUUCAACAACGGAUCUCUUGGUUCUG
rnacentral:misc_RNA from 1 species